rnacentral:tRNA from 1 species
GAGUCAUUGUGACAUAGUGGUUUGAAUGUUGGACUAUGACUCUAGAGACCAGGGUUCAAUUCCCUGCUUGCUCA